rnacentral:lncRNA from 10 species
GGGUUCAAGUGAUUCUCCUGCCUCAGCCUCCUGAGUAGCUGGGACUACAGGCACACACCACCACGCCUGGCUAAUUUUUGUGUUUUUAGUAGAGACAGGGUUUCACCAUGUUGGCCAGGCUGGUCUCAAACUCCUGACCUCAGACGAUCCAUCCACCUUGUCCUCCCAAAGAGCUGGGAUUACAGGCAUGAGCCACUGCACCCAGCCCACUUCAUUCAUUUUUUAUGACUGAAUACUAUUCAUUGUAUGGAUAUACCACAUUUUAUUUGCUCAUCAGCUAAAGGACAUUUGGGUUGUUUCUGUCUUUUGGCUACUGUGAACAGUGCUACUUUUGUUCGAAUCCUUAUUUUCAAUUCUUUUGGGUGGAUACCUAGAAGUAAAAUUCCUGGGUCUUCUGGUAAUUUAUGUUUAAUUUUUUGAGGAACCACCAAACUAUUUUCCAUAGCAGCUGGCUGUCAACUUUUAAACAUGUUCAUGCCUCUCCAAUAAAAAAAUUAAAAACCUGAACCCAUGCCCUCCUCCAGCUACUGAUCUUUUUCUCAUCUCCUUCUCAGGGCUGCUUCUUGGAAAACGUUAGCAGGCUCGUUCUUCUUUCCCCAGCCAUUAAAUGCAGGCACUCCUCCAGGUCCAGUCCCCUGCCUUUUUUCUUUUCUUUUCUCUAUAUUCUUUCCCCCGUUGAUUCCGGCACUCCUCCAACUUGUUUUCCAAAUUGCAACCAUUAUGACCUUUUCAAAAUGUAAAUCUGAUCAUACCACCCUUGUUUCAAACAUGCAAAGGAUUUCCAUUGCUUUAUAAGUAAGGGGAUCUUUAACCUCCCUGAACCUGUCCAGUCUCGCCCACCUUCCUCUCUGGCCAUCCCUCUCACCAGGUGCUCUGUCACUCUAGGAACCCUGUCACAUGCCCCCCUGUCCACCAUGUGCCUUUGUUCUCACCACUUUCUCCUCCUGAACUCUACCUUACUCUACCCCAUGUCUUAAUUUUUCAUUUCUAUGCUUCACAUCUGUGUUUAUUCAACACUUCUGUGAAGCAAUCCUUGACCUCUACAGUUUGGUAAAAUUCUACAAGUUCCUAUAGCGCUAUUACAAGCUGAAUUGCAUCCCUCCAAAUUCAUACACUGAGGUCCUAAUCCUCAGUACCACAGAAUGUGAUUGUAUUUGGAGACAGGACCUUUAAAGAGGUAAGUAAGGUUAAAUGAGAUCGUAUGGGUGGGCUCUAAUCCAAUAUGACUGGUGUCCUUAAAAGAAUAGAAAAUGAAGACACAGACAAUGCACUGACUGAGAGGUGGUCUGUGAAGACACAGCGAGAAGGUGGCCAUCUACAAGCCAAAGACAGAGGCCUCAGAAGAAACAAAUCCUGCCAGCACCUUAAUCUUGGAGUUCGACCUUCCAGAAUUGAUUAUGGCUUGGAGCCUCAAAUCACUUUGUGAUUCAAGAUGGCAACUGGAAGAAAGAGGAGAUAACAAAAAGGGCCACCAGACCCCAGGUAGAACUCUGCUCACAUUCCUCCUUCCAAGCUACACCUAAGCCUAGGCCUAGGCCUCUGAUGGAGUUUCACCAAGCAACGAGCAUGGAAAGGAGUGCAACUAGUUUGCAAACCUUUAUGAUGUGGAUGAGGCAUGAUUCGGACAACAAACACAGGAAGACAACCUCUCAUGGGAAAGGCCAUCCUUAGCCUGAUGUCCAAGACAAUAGAGAUUCUGGAACAUUGCCUGAAACUUUUAUCUUCUGGCCUUCACACAUGCGGUUCCUCUCCCUAGAAUAUUGUCUUUUUUCCCCCUUUCCUUGCCCCACCCAAACCCUGACUUCACUUGAAAACUCUUAUUUUUCUUUCAGACUCAACUUGAAACUCACUUCCUCCAUCAAGCCUUCCCCAAUCCCCUAGACCAAGUGAGAGAAGCCCCCAUUAUGGGCCCCUGUGGCCCCCUAUACUUAGCUUAGUAUAACAUAUGUCAUCAUUUAUCAAACUUUCUUGUUUUAUUGCCCUUCUUCCUUACUGGAUUAUGAAUUCCAUGAAAGCUGAAAAAUUAUGUCUGCCUUAUUGCCCAAUUCAUUUCCAUUCCCUGUACAGGUAAUUGCUGAAUAAUAGAGUAAGUGAAUGAAUGAAGAAUCAACACAUCUCCUACCAGUACAGAGUACUGAAUUCUGAAUUCCUUUUUCUGAAAAUCCUAAAAAGCAGGGUCAAUGGUUAUAUAUCUAAGAUGAACUAACUGUCUUUUCCAGGUCCCUUCUAGUCCCACAAUUCCUUUAUUUUUUAAUCAAAACUGCCAACACAAGUUUUAAAUUAAUAAUAGCAUUGUCGUCAUUAUUUCACCACUUCAGUAGAUGAGUGCCUGAGAUGCAGGUGACUAGAAGGACUGGCCUCAUCUAAUCAAGCCCUGAACAGCACUUGUCUCGAGGUGUGAGGGCAACCAUUCCACUCUCCACAUUAAUGCCAUUAGGUAAAAGAGACAAUAAGGAGAUUUUUGUGUAGUAGAAUUCUCUAGCAUAUACAGUUUUACCCUUGCCACCGAUUAAUUUACCAACCUCACAAUCUUUACUCCAGGGUAAACAGAUUUAAAACAAAAAAGUUGAAGUCUCAUGGUAGCCAGGUGAAUUUCUGUGCAAAUAUUUUACUAUGUUCAUCUGACAAAAAUAAUUCAGGACAUGCCAUUCUUAACAAUCACCUCUGUCAAUACUACUGAUUAAUCUGCAAUUUCUUUCACAGUCGGAAUAACGGCAUUGAUCAAUUCAGUGGACACCUUUGAGCAUAACAUAAAGGAUUUGAUAUACCCUUCAAGAUGAACUAGGGGCCUUUGUCUUUGGCACUUUCUAUUACUUUCCUGUAUGGCCAAACUAUGAGACUUGACAGCUUACUCUUGAGUUUGUAAACUGGAAUAUUCAACAAAAACUAAAAUUGCAGAAAAGCGUCAGUCAUUCAUAUAAAGUACUGCUUCUUAAUUUCCAUAUUCCCUGAAGGAGCCACCUCUACCCAUUUUAACCUAUGUUAGAUGAGAAAACUGAGGCACUGAGGAGUCAAAG